AAACCUAAUUUUUUAAAAAAAAAAGUUUAAAAACCCUCUGAAAGAGGGGAGAGGAGAGGUCCUCUGGGCUCUGGCCUCCGCAGGCCACGUUCCGGUCAUCAGUCCUACACGCGCCUACACGCCAUUGUACACGGUGGUUUGAGGGUCUAAAACCUUCGUCCUUCCACAGGUGACCGCGAGGAUCUCGGUGGUUCAAGGGCUGCUGGCGUUGAUGGAGGCCUGAAGUCUGGUGGUGAUGAUUCGUGGUGACUGUGAGGCGCUGAUUACGGAGGCAGAGCCUUGAAUGGUGGCCUCGAUUUGGGAGCUGGACAGACGCUCCCUGAACCUUCUAGAAUUAGUGGCGGCUCGAGGAGAAAGAAGGCAGAAACCCUAAGGUUUCCUGCCUUGGUGUAAUGUUUUGGGCCAGUUGGGUCACUUUAGUCCUGGGUCUGUCUAGUUUAAGUUAGGCUACGGGUGUAUUAGGGUACACAGGUAGUCUAGGCUAUUGGGUUGUAGCCGGUCUGUUUGGGUAUAACGGGUCGAAGGUAUUUGGGCCUAUGUUUG